AACGAACGCUGGCGGCAUGCCUAACACAUGCAAGUCGAACGAAGGCUUCGGCCUUAGUGGCGCACGGGUGCGUAACGCGUGGGAAUCUGCCCUUUGGUUCGGAAUAACAGCUGGAAACGGCUGCUAAUACCGGAUGAUGACGAAAGUCCAAAGAUUUAUCGCCAGAGGAUGAGCCCGCGUUGGAUUAGGUAGUUGGUGGGGUAAAGGCCUACCAAGCCGACGAUCCAUAGCUGGUCUGAGAGGAUGAUCAGCCACACUGGGACUGAGACACGGCCCAGACUCCUACGGGAGGCAGCAGCGGGGAAUAUUGGACAAUGGGCGCAAGCCUGAUCCAGCAAUGCCGCGUGAGUGAUGAAGGCCCUAGGGUUGUAAAGCUCUUUUACCCGGGAAGAUAAUGACUGUACCGGGAGAAUAAGCCCCGGCUAACUCCGUG
rnacentral:rRNA from 1 species